AAGUACACCUGGGGAGGUAGGGACAGGGACAGGGGAGAGAAGGAGAGAGGCAGCCUCCAUAAAAGAAGCAGUUUCCAGAAACAGAAGCUUGAGACAUUUCCAGUAUACGUCCUUUGCUGAGAAUCAACACUACCCUUAAAUCUGAGUUAUCCCAUGAACCCUUUUAUCUGUUUUUUGUUCAAGCUGACUGAAGUUGUUUUAUGUUAAUUGCAGCCAAAUAUUCCUGAAUCAUGGGAUGAGAGAGAGAGAAAGAGAAUUGUAUAAGAAACCAGAGAGAAAUAAAGUACUAAUUUGAUGCUGACUUAACUGGCAGCCUUUACAAAAGAAAGAAAAAUAAUAGACCGGAUAAUACUUCUCACCUCAUACAAGGCAGAAAGAUGUUUUGGGAGAAGUAGAGAAUUCAAGACAACAUUUGAGUAAGCAUGUGAAAAUGCCUCUCAAAUGGAUCCAGUAGAUUUUGGAAGGGAUGUGUCCAUGGAGACUCUUCAAGUUGAGAAUGUGUCUAACCUACCUUGUAUUUGUCAAUAGGGUCUAACUCAGUAACUGGCACAGAGUAGGUACUCGCCCCAGAUCUCAAGCGUAACAGGAAAUAUGGACUAAAACAAAGUCUAUCUUCAAAGCUUUUAGCACCAUAUCUGUACCAUGGGAAAGGAAACAUUUGAUAAAGGAAUUAGAACAGAAAUCGUAACGGAUUCGGCGGAACAAGGGAAGUUUCAGUUCUGCCUGGUUACCUUCCAAGGUCACUCUGAACUUUGCAAACUUCAUUUAAUCUGCAGAAUUACCUUGUAGGUAGGUGUAGGAAUAUGACUUAGCAUUUCCCUACACAUAAAAACAUGCACGGGUUUAUCAAAGGAAAUUUGAUUGCUUGUAAGGUGUCACUCAGUAAAACUGAUUUCAUUAUUUUUCUGAUUUAAAAAAAAAAUGCCAGACCUAGAAUUUUAUUGGCACAUAUCUUAUUAACAUAGUAACAUCUGAUUCAUGAAACACAGGCAUUAAACACCUCCGUAAUGAGUCAAACACAUUGAAAUACAUACCAAUGACAUUUGCAAUAGAAUUCAGUAUAUAAGAGAGGAGUCAUUUCAUUCAUGUACAAGAAAUCUUCCAAUAUUACACUGGCAUUAAGAAGCAAAAGAAAUAGAGGCCUUUUUGGGGUAGCCAGGUGUGUAUUCAAAACAGCCAUUCCACUUGCAGUCUUUAAAGUUGCUUUCAUUUUCACAAAUUAUAGACUUUGAUUUGUGUGUAUGUAUGCAAGAGAUGCUCAAAUUUCUUAUUUGAAAACAGGAGUUGGCUUGACUAUUCAGGUUCCUCAUUAUUGUUGGUCCAGAGCAGGGAGUAAAACGUAUCUCAGGUAACAAACUGAGUGUCGACACAGAUGCAUUCAUCUCAGUGAACGGGACAAACCCCUGUUAUCAGUGCCUGAUAAGGAUGGAGAGGACAGAGACAGAAGGGUCCCACACAAGAGGCUUCAGGGCCUCAUGCAAAGAACACAGAACUCACGGCAGGCAGCAGAAAGAAGCUCAGAACCCUGUUCUGCCAAUGGCCUGUCAUGACCAGGGAGAAAGCAAAUUGUAGAGCUUCUUUUUCCUUAGCUAUGAAACGGAUUGAUAAUACUUACCUCAUCAUACAUCUUGGAGCAUGAACUGGACUUACAUCAAUAAAGAACUUGCCUGGCACAGAGUGGCAGAAUGAUGCUCUCCCAAACUUGUCCACAUCCUAAGCCCUAGAACUUACUGCUAUGUCUCUUUACAUGGAAAAGGAGAAUUAAGUUUGAAGACAGAAUUAAAGUUACUAAUAAAUGACUGUCGUGGAUCAUCCAGGUGAGCCUAAUGGAAUCACAAGAGUUCUUAAAUAUAGAAGAAAGAAGCAGAAGAAUCAAUGUCAGAUUGAUGUAGUAUGAGAAAGUUUUGAUUGGCCCUUGCUGACCUUGAAGUUGGAAAGCAACCAUGAGCCAAGGAAUGCAGGUGGCCUCUAGAAGCUGCAAAAGGCAAAGAAAUUGUCCUCCCCUAGAGCUUCUAGAAAUAACACAGCCCUGCUGACACCGUAUUUUAGCCCCAUAAGACUGACUCCAGUCUUCUGACCCCCAGGAUUAUAAAAUAUUAAGUUGGAUUUGUUUUAAACCAUCAAGUUUAAGGCAAUUUGUUACAGCAGCAAUAGGAGACUAGGACAGUGACUAACCAGCAAAUG